rnacentral:rRNA from 1 species
AUAUGGUGAAACUGCGAAUGGCUCAUUAAAUCAGUUAUCGUUUAUUUGAUAGUACCCUUACUACAUGGAUACCCGUGGUAAUUCUAGAGCUAAUACAUGCUAAAAACCCCGACUUCGGAAGGGGUGUAUUUAUUAGAUAAAAAACCAAUGCCCUUUCGGGGCUCCCUGGUGAUUCAUAAUAACUUGUCGAAUCGCAUGGCCUUGCGCCGGCGAUGGUUCAUUCAAAUUUCUGCCCUAUCAACUUUCGAUGGUAGGAUAGUGGCCUACCAUGGUGGCAACGGGUAACGGGGAAUUAGGGUUCGAUUCCGGAGAGGGAGCCUGAGAAACGGCUACCACAUCCAAGGAAGGCAGCAGGCGCGCAAAUUACCCAAUCCCGAUACGGGGAGGUAGUGACAAUAAAUACUGAUACAGGGCUCUUUCGGGUCUUGUAAUUGGAAUGAGAACAAUUUAAACACCUUAACGAGGAACAAUUGGAGGGCAAGUCUGGUGCCAGCAGCCGCGGUAAUUCCAGCUCCAAUAGCGUAUAUUAAAGUUGUUGCAGUUAAAAAGCUCGUAGUUGAACCUUGGGUCCGGCUGGCCGGUCCGCUUCGCGGCGUGCACUGGUCCGGCUGGAUCUUUCCUUCUGGGGAAUCCCAUGGCCUUCACUGGCUGUGGGGGGAACCAGGACUUUUACUGUGAAAAAAUUAGAGUGUUCAAAGCAGGCCUUUGCUCGGAUACAUUAGCAUGGAAUAAUGAAAUAGGACGUGUGGUUUUAUUUUGUUGGUUUCUAGGACCGCCGUAAUGAUUAAUAGGGAUAGUCGGGGGCGUCAGUAUUCGGCUGUCAGAGGUGAAAUUCUUAGAUUUGCUGAAGACUAACUACUGCGAAAGCAUUCGCCAAGGAUGUUUUCAUUAAUCAGUGAACGAAAGUUAGGGGAUCGAAGACGAUCAGAUACCGUCGUAGUCUUAACCAUAAACUAUGCCGACUAGGGAUCGGACGGGCAAUUUAUGAUAACCCGUUCGGCACCUUACGAGAAAUCAAAGUUUUUGGGU